AGGAUUUGGUUAGGAUUUGAUUUAGGAUUUAGGAUUUAGUUAAGAUUUGGUUUAGGAUUUAAGAUUUGGUUAGGGUUUGAUUUAGGAUUUAGGAUUUGAUUUAGGAUUUAAGAUUGGAUUAGGAUUUGAUUUAUGAUUAGGAUUUGGUUAAGAAUUGAUUUAGGAUUUAGGAUUUGGUUAGGAUUUGAUUUAGGAUUUAGGAUUUUAUUAGGAUUUGUUUAAGAUUUGAAAUUUAGUUAAAUUUGGCCUAAAGUUUAAAUGAAGUUUAAUAGGAUUUUAAUUAGGAUUAAAUUAAGAUUAAAUUGAAAUUUAUUUGAGAUAUAUUUGUGAUCAAUACAAUAUUUCUUUAAGAUUUUUUAUUAUUUCUUUGUAAUUCCUUUGAGGUUUUUUUGAAUUCAAUUAAG
rnacentral:lncRNA from 1 species